GUACAUGCCUAUAGCAUAGUGUUAAUGCACCGGAUCCCAUUAGAACUCCACAGUUAAGCGCCUCGGGCUAGAGUAGUACUAGAAUAGGUGAACACCCAGGAAGUCCUAGUGUUUUGCAUG
rnacentral:rRNA from 1 species